rnacentral:rRNA from 1 species
UACGGGGGGGGCAAGCGUUGUUCGGAAUUACUGGGCGUAAAGGGCUCGUAGGCGGCCAACUAAGUCGGACGUGAAAUCCCCAGGCUUAACCUGGGAACUGCAUCCGAUACUGGAUGGCUUGAAUUCGGGAGAGGGAUGCAGAAUUCCAGGUGUAGCGGUGAAAUGCGUAGAUAUCUGGAGGAAUACCGGUGGCGAAGGCGGCAUCCUGGACCGAGAUUGACGCUGAUGAGCGAAAGCUAGGGGAGCAAACGGG